CUGCAGCUCAAGUGGUGACCGCUAUUAUUGGGCCUAAAACGUUCGUAGCCGGCUGAGUAAAUGCUUGGGUAAAUCGUGCCGCUUAACGGUACGAAUUCCGGGUAGACUACUCAGCUUGAGACCGGGAGAAGCUAGAGGUACUCCUGGGGUAGAGGUGAAAUUCUGUAAUCCUAGGGGGACCACCAGUGGCGAAGGCGUCUAGCUAGAACGGGUCUGACGGUGAGGGACGAAGCCCUGGGGCGCAAACCGGAUUAGAUACCCGAGUAGUCC
rnacentral:rRNA from 1 species